GAUGAACGCUGGCGGCGUGCCUAAUACAUGCAAGUCGAGCGAACGGACGAGAAGCUUGCUUCUCUGAUGUUAGCGGCGGACGGGUGAGUAACACGUGGAUAACCUACCUAUAAGACUGGGAUAACUUCGGGAAACCGGAGCUAAUACCGGAUAAUAUUUUGAACCGCAUGGUUCAAAAGUGAAAGACGGUCUUGCUGUCACUUAUAGAUGGAUCCGCGCUGCAUUAGCUAGUUGGUAAGGUAACGGCUUACCAAGGCAACGAUGCAUAGCCGACCUGAGAGGGUGAUCGGCCACACUGGAACUGAGACACGGUCCAGACUCCUACGGGAGGCAGCAGUAGGGAAUCUUCCGCAAUGGGCGAAAGCCUGACGGAGCAACGCCGCGUGAGUGAUGAAGGUCUUCGGAUCGUAAAACUCUGUUAUUAGGGAAGAACAUAUGUGUAAGUAACUGUGCACAUCUUGACGGUACCUAAUCAGAAAGCCACGGCUAACUACGUGCCAGCAGCCGCGGUAAUACGUAGGUGGCAAGCGUUAUCCGGAAUUAUUGGGCGUAAAGCGCGCGUAGGCGGUUUUUUAAGUCUGAUGUGAAAGCCCACGGCUCAACCGUGGAGGGUCAUUGGAAACUGGAAAACUUGAGUGCAGAAGAGGAAAGUGGAAUUCCAUGUGUAGCGGUGAAAUGCGCAGAGAUAUGGAGGAACACCAGUGGCGAAGGCGACUUUCUGGUCUGUAACUGACGCUGAUGUGCGAAAGCGUGGGGAUCAAACAGGAUUAGAUACCCUGGUAGUCCACGCCGUAAACGAUGAGUGCUAAGUGUUAGGGGGUUUCCGCCCCUUAGUGCUGCAGCUAACGCAUUAAGCACUCCGCCUGGGGAGUACGACCGCAAGGUUGAAACUCAAAGGAAUUGACGGGGACCCGCACAAGCGGUGGAGCAUGUGGUUUAAUUCGAAGCAACGCGAAGAACCUUACCAAAUCUUGACAUCCUUUGACAACUCUAGAGAUAGAGCCUUCCCCUUCGGGGGACAAAGUGAUAGGUGGUGCAUGGUUGUCGUCAGCUCGUGUCGUGAGAUGUUGGGUUAAGUCCCGCAACGAGCGCAACCCUUAAGCUUAGUUGCCAUCAUUAAGUUGGGCACUCUAAGUUGACUGCCGGUGACAAACCGGAGGAAGGUGGGGAUGACGUCAAAUCAUCAUGCCCCUUAUGAUUUGGGCUACACACGUGCUACAAUGGACAAUACAAAGGGCAGCGAAACCGCGAGGUCAAGCAAAUCCCAUAAAGUUGUUCUCAGUUCGGAUUGUAGUCUGCAACUCGACUACAUGAAGCUGGAAUCGCUAGUAAUCGUAGAUCAGCAUGCUACGGUGAAUACGUUCCCGGGUCU
rnacentral:rRNA from 1 species